GAACUCUAUUUAUUACGUUACACACUGUAUGAAUCUAACAUUACAGUACAGUGAACUCUAUUUAUUACGUUA